GACGAACGCUGGCGGCGUGCUUAACACAUGCAAGUCGAACGAUGAAGCCGGAGCUUGCUCUGGUGAAUUAGUGGCGAACGGGUGAGUAACACGUGAGUAACCUGCCCUUGACUCUGGGAUAACUGCUAGAAAUGGUAGCUAAUACCGGAUACGACCCUCGGAGGCAUCUUCAGGGGGUGGAAAGAAUUUCGGUCAAGGAUGGACUCGCGGCCUAUCAGCUAGUUGGUGAGGUAAUGGCUCACCAAGGCGACGAAGGGUAGCCGGCCUGAGAGGGGGACCAGCCACACUGGGACUGCGACACGGCCCAGACUCCUACGGGAGGCAGCAGUGGGGAAUAUUGCACAAUGGGCGCAAGCCUGAUGCAGCAACGCCGCGUGAGGGAUGACGGCCUUCGGGUUGUAAACCUCUUUUAGUAGGGAAGAAGCGAAAGUGACGGUACCUGCAGAAAAAGCACCGGCUAACUACGUGCCAGCAGCCGCAGUAA
rnacentral:rRNA from 1 species